rnacentral:rRNA from 1 species
UGGUGGAGUGAUUUGUCUGGUUAAUUCCGUUAACGAACGAGACCUCGACCUGCUAAAUAGUACUGGUUAUUCAUUGGAUAAUCCAGGCACUUCUUAGAGGGACUAUCGGCGGUGUACCCGAUGGAAGUUCGAGGCAAUAACA